rfam:Schistosoma curassoni strain Dakar, Senegal genome assembly, scaffold: SCTD_scaffold0000023
AUCCAGUUGAUGAGUCCCAAAUAUGACGAAACGUCCAGCGUUCUGGAU